AAUCAACGCUGGCGGCGUGCCUAACACAUGCAAGUCGAACGAGAAAGGGGCUUCGGUCCUGAGUACAGUGGCGCACGGGUGAGUAACACGUGACUAACCUACCCUUGAGUGGGGAAUAACUUCGAGAAAUCGAGGCUAAUACCGCAUAACACCUACGGGUCAAAGGAGCAAUUCGCUUAAGGAGGGGGUCGCGGCAGAUUAGUUAGUUGGCGGGGUAAGUGGCCCACCAAGACAGUGAUCGUAUCCGGCCUGAGAGGGCGCACGGACACACUGGAACUGAAACACGGUCCAGACUCCUACGGGAGGCAGCAGUGGGGAAUUUUU
rnacentral:rRNA from 1 species